rnacentral:misc_RNA from 1 species
GAUGAAGAACGUAGCGAAAUGCGAUAAGUAAUGUGAAUUGCAGAAUUCAGUGAAUCAUCGAAUCUUUGAACGCACAUUGCACUCAUUAGUAUUCUAGUGAGUAUGCCUGUUCGAGCGUCAUUUCAACCCUUAAGCCUAGCUUAGUGUUGGGACUCUACCCUAACCGGUAGUUCCCCAAAAUCAGUUGGCGGAGUUCAGUCGGCUCUGAGUGUAGUAAUUUUCUCUCGCUUUAGAAGUCUUCUGGAUUACGGCCAGAAAGAGACGAGUCUCGCAUCCCGGUGCGUUUCUCAACUUUUUUUUACAAUGGUUGACCUCGGAUCAGGUAGGAAUACCCGCUGAACUUAAGCAUAUCAAUAAGCGGAGGA